rnacentral:rRNA from 1 species
GGGGAAUAUUGGACAAUGGGCGCAAGCCUGAUCCAGCCAUGCCGCGUGAGUGAUGAAGGCCUUAGGGUUGUAAAGGUCUUUCACCGAUGAAGAUAAUGACGGUAGUCGGAGAAGAAGCCCCGGCUAACUUCGUGCCAGCAGCCGCGGUAAUACGAAGGGGGCUAGCGUUGUUCGGAUUUACUGGGCGUAAAGCGCACGUAGGCGGUUUGUUAAGUCAGAGGUGAAAUCCCGGAGCUCAACUCCGGAACUGCCUUUGAUACUGGCAAGCUAGAGUCCGGAAGAGGUAAGUGGAACUCCUAGUGUAGAGGUGGAAUUCGUAGAUAUUAGGAAGAACACCAGUGGCGAAGGCGGCUUACUGGUCCGGAACUGACGCUGAGGUGCGAAAGCGUGGGGAGCAAAC